AGGAGAUGGAGGGUGGCCGACGGUAAUCCGCAAGGAUGGCUGAGGAAGUUCCCUCCUCCAAGGGCAAGAUGGACAGGCGCAAGCCUGUACGGCGAGAGCCGUGGCAAGGGCCCAGAAACGACACAGACCCGGUAACAAGGAUGAUCCGUCAGACGGUGACGUUCCCGGGGAUUUGGUGAAACGGCGACCCCCCAUCGGAGCAAGUUCAUACAACGGGGGAGACCUGCCCGGGACCCGUGGGUAGAACGCGAAGUUGAAUGCCACCUGAAACAGAAGGGGGGCUACUACCAUCACCU
rnacentral:RNase_P_RNA from 3 species